GGAGUAGUAGUUCGAGUAAUACCGCGAGGCUUCUUGGGUCAAACUGGCUAACGGAAAAGCGGUGAUUCUUCUGAAUUUGAUGGUUUAGCUUCUGAAUUUGAUGGCUUUGAAACCAAGGAUAAAAGCCCCAUUUUAAUAUGCAUUUCAGAGAGUUGUUCCCUCUUUGUAAAACAGGGAUAAUAUUCAUAGGAUUGUAUUUGGAUGGAAUGAGACAAAUUGUAUAGGAUAUAGGAAGCUUCAAUAAAUGUUUGAUUAUAACAGAAAUUGCUAGCUUUCCUUUUAGAACUUUUGAAAAAUGAGACACACACACAAUUUGAAAACAUGAGCAAUUUUGCAAAGGAAGUCAGGUCAGGGUUUUCAUGUUGAUUCUUUUGAAAGGUUGUGAAGGGUAUUACAACAAUUCUAUAAGAAAUGCUAUGCAUAGGCUCAUUAAGAUAUCUUAGA